rnacentral:rRNA from 1 species
GGGUCUGCGUUCCAUUAGCUUGUUGGCGGGGUAACGGCCCACCAAGGCAACGAUGGGUAGCCGAUUUGAGAGGAUGAUCGGCCACACUGGAACUGAAACACGGUCCAGACUCCUACGGGAGGCAGCAGUGGGGAAUAUUGCGCAAUGGGCGAAAGCCUGACGCAGCGACGCCGCGUGAGGGAUGAAGGUUUUCGGAUCGUAAACCUCUGUCAGAAGGGAAGAAACUACGUUGUGCUAAUCAGCAGCGUACUGACGGUACCUUCAAAGGAAGCACCGGCUAACUCCGUGCCAGCAGCCGCGGUAAUACGGAGGGUGCAAGCGUUAAUCGGAAUUACUGGGCGUAAAGCGCACGUAGGCUGUAGUGUAAGUCAGGGGUGAAAUCCCACGGCUCAACCGUGGAACUGCCUUUGAUACUGCACAACUUGAAUCCGGGAGAGGGUGGCGGAAUUCCAGGUGUAGGAGUGAAAUCCGUAGAUAUCUGGAGGAAC